AUUGAUUAUUAAUACUUAUCUCAAAUAAAAAUUAUAAAUCAUUGAAAAGUUUAUUUUUGCUUAUUUUACUAGUAAUAAAAGUAUGAAACUGAAUAUACAUGAUACUACACCAAGUAGAUUCAUGAGACUUACACCUCACCCCGUACUAUAUAAAAAGCCUCAUGAAACUUACACCUCACUCCGUACUAUAUAAAAAGCCUUGCCUCACACCCCCGCCUUUUAAAACACUCAGACAAUCAAAAGGUGAAGAGGUGGAUGUUGAUGUCUAUGUCUCCUGAGAUCAUGAAGUGAUAUAUUCGCUUACCUACUGCUUAAGAAAUAUGGAAAGCUCUGUCAACAACCUUUUAUGAUGGAGCAGAUGAACUAAAGUCUUCACUUUGAAUCAAAAAGCCUUUUCUGCCAAACAAAAUGACAGAUCUCUCUCUUCCUACUAUGGAGAAUUGAUUGAAUUUUUUUGUGAGUUGAAUCACCGUGAUAAGGUGAUCAUGGAAAAUGAAAAGGAUGUCAGUUCUUACCGCAAGUCUAUUCAACAACAAAAGGUGCACAUCUUUCUUGCUGGUUUGGAUGGUGAAUUUGAACAGAUUCGUGGGGAAAUCUUGAUGAAGGAUCAUGUUUCAGAAUUAGAAGAAUGUUACUUAAUGGUUUGUCGUGAAUCUAUGGAGAUCUUGAAAAAUCUGAAGCAGCCGCCAUGGUGAGCAAAUAUAGAUCUAAUCAGAAUCGAUUCUCUCAAAAUCAACCAGAUCAAAUGAGGUCUAAGGGUAUCAAAAUGUCCACUUAUUAGUGUAAUCAUUUUGAUCAGUCGGGGUUCAAAAAAGAUUGUUGUUUUGAGAUUGUGGGAUAUCUAGAAUGGUGGUAUUAGAACUGUGAUUCAAGAAAGAGAAAUGCAAGCCAGAGUUCCACUGCUGCAACUGUAGAAACAAAUGCCAAGGAAGAUGUUGCUGGACAAUCCACAACCUUGGUAGAAACGAGAGGUAACAAUGAUGAUGAAGAUGAUUGAUUAUGGUACUAGACGAGAGAAGUUGCAUUGCUUGAAUUUGGAGUCAAAAAGUUCUAAUCAGUUGCGCCAAGCAUUACCGAUUAAUGUGUUUAGUUGUGAGGACAAAACAAGGAAAUCUUAUAUUUGGCUAUGGUAUCGACGAUCAGGACAUGUUUCUUUUGGAUAUCUUAAUAAGUUGUUUCCUAGGUUAUUUACAAAAUUUGAUGUUUUUGAUUUCCAUUGUGAUGUCUGUGAACUUUUAAAGAGUCAACGUGUGUCUUUUUCACCAAAAAUGAAAAAAGUUCAAUUCCUUUUAUGACUAUACAUUCAGAUAUUUGGGGUCCAUCCAAGGUGAAUACGUUAGGUGGAUUACGUUGGUUUGUUACUUUUAUAGACGAUUGUACUAGAAUGACUUGGUGUGUUUGAUGAAGUUCAAAAGUGAAGUGAA